UCUGGGGACGUAGGUAGACAGAAUGUCCUAGAAUCUGAAACCCAAUUUCUAAGGAUAUCUGGGUCCAGUAGCUCUAGAGGGGCUGAACCAGCCAUGCAGGUUUGUCCCAUAAAGUCAACAGCUUCCCAGACCUAGGGAGGGACGAAGCUUAUAACUGAAGCCAUGCUUGGCUGUGUGACCACAGCUCAGUCCCUCCAGCUUGAGGGACCUUCUCAUUAUCAAGGUGUUAGCCUACAGAUGCAGAGUCUGGAGGCCAAGCUCCAGAUCCCACGGACUGCAAAGGGGACGCAAUGAUCCGCGGACAGCGCUGGGUGGCAGCCUGCGUCCCACAGAAGUGCCCAGCUGAAGCUCGUCCCAGUGUGAGGCUAGACAACGCUGAGUGUGAGUGUGGCACGUUAACCUGGGAAUCCAGCACCGAGACACCAAUGCCUAGCUGAACACUGCGCUCACGCUCCACAGCCAACACCGGCAAUCCAGAACCAGAAGUCAGGCUCUCUUGAGUCCAGACGUUUUGUUUGUUUGGCUGGAUAGCCCAGGCUGCCUCAAACCUCCCUCUUCCUGUCUCUACCUCCUGAGGGCUGGGAUUGUAGUAUACAGAUGUGUGACACUGGGCCUGGCUCGAUGCAGGCUCUGUUCUUUGUUUUGUUUUUGCUGCUGUUGUUGUUGGAAAGCAAGCCUUGGGUAUCCCAGGCUAGCCUCAAGACCACUGUGUAGACAAGCAUAUCCUGAACUCCUGAUCCUCCUGCCUCAGGCCCCCAAGGGCUGGGAUUGCAGGCAUGCACUAUUCUGUAUGGUUUGUGUGGUACCAGGGAUGGAAUCAGGAGCAAGAAGAGGAGGAGAUGGAGGCGACACCAGAAGAAAGAAACAAUAAGGAGCACAAGCCUGGGACCCCAAAAGUCAUUCACAGUUCAGAGCCCAGGAUACAGAUGACUCCAGGCACGGGACGUCAGCCUUCAAAAGUGAACUCUCUAGGGUAGGGACAGGGCUCAGUGAACGAAGUGCUUGUCAUGCAAGCCUGGGAACCCGAGUUCAAUACUCAGAACCUACGUAAAAUCCAGCUUGAGUUUGUAAUCCAGAUGGGCACAGGUGGGUCUCGGGAGCUGGCUGCCUAGCCAGCCUAGGUCUAUCGAGAAGCUGCAAGUCGAACUGAGAGAGUCUACUCAGAACACAAGGUGGAGGGGCUGGAGAGAGAGCUUAGCAGUUGAGAACAUAGUCUGCCCUUCUAGAGAACCUAAGCCUGGUUCCCAUCACCCAUGUCAGGUCGCAACCAACACAACCUCCUGGGAAUCUGAGACCCUGGCCUCCAUGGGCAUCUGCGCUGGUGCCCACGCUCACAUGUGCAAGCAUACACAUAAUAAAAAAACAAAAACAAAUAAGGUGGACAGUGACUUAGGAAGACACCCACAGUUGAUGCACAUGUGCACGUGUGUGCAAAUUUAACAUGUUUCAAUGACUAAAAAUAAAAGUAAUUAAAUUUCA